CUUUUUAGCGGCGGCAGCAUAUUGCUCAAACAUCUUCUCACCACGAUCCAAAGUUCUAGAGAAAGACUCUUCUUCCUCAUCAAGUAGUUCCCGGACGUCGUCUACCUUUCUCUUAAGUUCAGGGAAGAAAUCCCCCAUUUGUUCAACUACAGUUAAAGAAAGUCUAGAAAAGAAAUUUCCAAUUGGCACGCCGAAUUUUUUACGUACAUAACGGGCACCACGGCGUAAAAUACGACGCAAAACAUAGCCUCGGCCUUCAUUGUUCGGCACACCACCAUCACUAAUAGCAAAAGUUAGGGUACGAACAUGAUCGGCCACAACACGGUAUGCAGUAUCGAUACCAUCUACAUCUUCAUCACCCAUUUUGCCGGUAUAAGGUCGGGCAUUGGUGAGCUCUUGAAUUUUAGCAAAAAUAGGUGAAAAGACAUCAGUAUCAUAAUUGGAGGUUUUAUUUUGAAUAACCGACACAAGACGUUCAAAUCCCAUACCAGUAUCAACGUGGCGAUUGGGAAGGGGACGAAGUGAACCAUCCUUUUCACGGUUAAAUUGGAUGAAAACAAUAUUCCAAAUUUCUAAAACAUUCGGAUCAUCCAUGUUGACAAGCUCUGGGACAGUCCGAUUUCCAAUUCUGUCAUAAUGGAUUUCCGAACAAGGGCCACAUGGACCUUGAUCACCCAUUUCCCAAAAGUUGUCUUUCAAACUUCCAGGAAUCACGCGGGAUUCAUCGAUACCAAUGUCAAGCCAUAGUUGACGAGCCUCCAAAUCAGGCUCCAAACCAGAUUCCUCAUGGCCACCAAAGUAUGUAACAUACAACUGAUCUUUCUUAAGACCGUAAACGUUGGUAAGUAGGUCCCAGGCCAUUGCGAUAGCUUCUUUUUUAAAGUAAUCGCCGAAAGACCAAUUACCCAACAUUUCAAACAUAGUAUGAUGAUAGUUGUCUUUACCAACGUCCUCCAAAUCAUUGUGUUUUCCACCAGCACGAAUGCAUUUUUGAGAAUCACAAGCGCGUUUUAAUUUAGCGAAAUCACUAGAAGGAUCAACAGUUCCCAGGAAAAUGGGUUUAAACUGGUUCAUACCAGCGUUCGCAAAAAGUAAGGUAGGGUCAUCGUAAGGAAUUACAGAAGAGCUAGGAACAAUAGUAUGUCCGUGAUCUUCAAAGUACUUCAAAAACGUACGCCUGAUCUCAUUGGCAGGCCAAUUAACUACCUCUGAUUCGGCGGUCAUGAGGUCUCUGCGGUGUAGUGUAGGUAAAGGAUAAGAAGGAGUGUGGGUUGAAAUUUUUAAGCGCGCAAACAAUGAAGACUUAGUAUUGAUAACGCUUUGAUGUGUUAAUCGAAACUUAUUACGGCAAUUUAAAUUAGUUAUUUUAGAUAAACAGAUGGGAAACGAGGCACGAAUCCCUAACAUACGAAGUUGGUGGAAUCUAUUAGAAUCGGUGGACGGAAAAUGACCCUGGUAUUAUAUAGCCGUACGCUGAGAAGGUAAUUUACAUACUAGCUACAGCAGGAUUAAACACUUUCCUGACAAUAAGAAAAUUUAUUGAUUGAUACGUAUAUGACUACGGAAACAUCGGCUAAUCCUUCCAUGAACCGAAUGACUAUAUGUGUCUUAUGCUGAUUUCGGUGAAAUAGACGAAAUGAGUAAAAAUAAAAAUGAAAUGCUAUUUUUUUCAAAAUAAUAUAUAGGUUAACAGUAG